CCGGUAAACGGCGGCCGUAACUAUAACGGUCCUAAGGUAGCGAAAUUCCUUGUCGGGUAAGUUCCGACCUGCACGAAUGGCGUAAUGAUGGCCAGGCUGUCUCCACCCGAGACUCAGUGAAAUUGAACUCGCUGUGAAGAUGCAGUGUACCCGCGGCAAGACGGAAAGACCCCGUGAACCUUUACUAUAGCUUGACACUGAACAUUGAGCCUUGAUGUGUAGGAUAGGUGGGAGGCUUUGAAGUGUGGACGCCAGUCUGCAUGGAGCCGACCUUGAAAUACCACCCUUUAAUGUUUGAUGUUCUAACGUUGACCCGUAAUCCGGGUUGCGGACAGUGUCUGGUGGGUAGUUUGACUGGGGCGGUCUCCUCCUAAAGAGUAACGGAGGAGCACGAAGGUUGGCUAAUCCUGGUCGGACAUCAGGAGGUUAGUGCAAUGGCAUAAGCCAGCUUGACUGCGAGCGUGACGGCGCGAGCAGGUGCGAAAGCAGGUCAUAGUGAUCCGGUGGUUCUGAAUGGAAGGGCCAUCGCUCAACGGAUAAAAGGUACUCCGGGGAUAACAGGCUGAUACCGCCCAAGAGUUCAUAUCGACGGCGGUGUUUGGCACCUCGAUGUCGGCUCAUCACAUCCUGGGGCUGAAGUAGGUCCCAAGGGUAUGGCUGUUCGCCAUUUAAAGUGGUACGCGAGCUGGGUUUAGAACGUCGUGAGACAGUUCGGUCCCUAUCUGCCGUGGGCGCUGGAGAACUGAGGGGGGCUGCUCCUAGUACGAGAGGACCGGAGUGGACGCAUCACUGGUGUUCGGGUUGUCAUGCCAAUGGCACUGCCCGGUAGCUAAAUGCGGAAGAGAUAAGUGCUGAAAGCAUCUAAGCACGAAACUUGCCCCGAGAUGAGUUCUCCCUGACUCCUUGAGAGUCCUGAAGGAACGUUGAAGACGACGACGUUGAUAGGCCGGGUGUGUAAGCGCAGCGAUGCGUUGAGCUAACCGGUACUAAUGAACCGUGAGGCUUA
rnacentral:rRNA from 1 species